AUUGAACGCUGGCGGCAUGCUUUACACAUGCAAGUCGAACGGUAACAGGGAGCUUGCUCCGCUGACGAGUGGCGAACGGGUGAGUAAUGCGUCGGAACGUGCCGAGUAGUGGGGGAUAACGCAUCGAAAGGUGUGCUACUACCGCAUACGAACUGAGGUUGAAAGUGGGGGACCUUCGGGCCUCACGCUAUUCGAGCCGCAGACGUCGGAUUAGCUAGUUGGUGAGGGAAAGGCUCACCAAGGCGACGAUCAGUAGCGGGUCUGAGAGGAUGAUCCGCCACACUGGGACUGAGACACGGCCCAGACUCCUCCGGGAGGCAGCAGUGGGGAAUUUUGGACAAUGGGCGCAAGCCUGAUCCAGCCAUGCCGCGUGUGUGAAGAAGGUCUUCGGAUUGUAAAGCACUUUAAGUUGGGAGGAAGGGCAGUAAGUUAAUACCUUGCUGUUUUGACGUUACCGACAGAAUAAGCACCGGCUAACUUCGUGCCAGCAGCCGCGGUAACAC
rnacentral:rRNA from 1 species